rfam:Aedes aegypti strain Liverpool supercont1.28 genomic scaffold, whole genome shotgun sequence.
CAAUUGGCCCUUUUCAGGGCCAACAAGUGUGUACUGAACAGUUAUU